rnacentral:lncRNA from 1 species
UUGGUCCAGUUUAUAACAACCUUGGUUACAUUAUGUGAAUAUAUGUUAGAUUAGGAUUAAUAUUGCAUAAUUGUUAAAAUUUGGUUAAAUUUUACUUUUGGUUCUUCGUGUGUUGUCAUUUUUAUUUUUUUUAAGGUUAAGUUUUAAAAUUUUUAUUUUGGCCUUUUAGAUUUUCAAAUGUUUCAUUUGAGUUUUUUCUUUGAUUUUUCAUUAACAACAUUUUAUUUAACGUGGUUCAUACGUUUUAAUUUUAAAAUAAUUAAUUCAAUAUAAUGAAAACUAAAAACCAUUGUUAUCUUCAUUUUAUUUUUUAAAAAAUAAAUCAUCCCUUCUAGAUCUAAGCAAAUCUAGGUGUUAAUGCCUUCCCCUACCUUAACUCUCAAAAAUCACCACCACCAUAAUCCAAACCCAUAACCAUCAGCGCAAACAUCAAUGGUUAGGGGCGUUGGAGGCGAGGGAGGUGCAAGUGUGCAACCAUUGCGAUCUGCUUGGCAAUUUAAAGGUUGAAGUUUCUGCAAUCAUUGGGCACCAUUCUAGCAGAGCCAGUUGAAGUUUUUGCCCCAGUGUCAAAACCGCGUUUGGACGUUACAAACACACACCUUCAACAUGGCUAUCUUCAUCGCACAAACAAGUGGUGAUCGAGAAAGCUUCCAAACACGCUCAUAGUUUCAAAACAAACGAAACCUACUACUAGUCCC